AUCACCUAAGGGCCUUGUUAAAAUACAGAUUCCGAUUCACUAGGUUCUGAGGGUGCUGGGAUUCCGUAUUUGUAACAAGUUCCCUGGUGCUGCCAA
rnacentral:pre_miRNA from 1 species